rnacentral:rRNA from 1 species
GAUGAACGCUAGCUACAGGCUUAACACAUGCAAGUCGAGGGGUAGCAGGGUAGCAAUACCGCUGACGACCGGCGCACGGGUGAGUAACACGUAUCCAACCUUCCCAUAACUCGGGGAUAGCCUUUCGAAAGAAAGAUUAAUACCGGAUGGUACUUUUUCAAGGCAUCUUGAGAAAGUUAAAGAUUUAUUGGUUAUGGAUGGGGAUGCGUUCCAUUAGAUAGUUGGUGAGGUAACGGCUCACCAAGUCUUCAAUGGAUAGGGGUUCUGAGAGGAAGGUCCCCCACAUUGGUACUGAGACACGGACCAAACUCCUACGGAGGCAGCAGUGAGGAAUAUUGGUCAAUGGGCGAGAGCCUGAACCAGCCAAGUAGCGUGAAGGAUGAAGGUCCUAUGGAUUGUAAACUUCUUUUAUAGUAGAAUAAAGUGAUCCACGUGCGGAUUUUUGUAUGUAUACUAUGAAUAAGGAUCGGCUAACUCCGUGCCAGCCGCCGCCGUAA